GGAAGGUUUUUGGGGAAAUGAGGGACUGAAAAUAUCCCUAGGCUGGGAAGGUGUUUGGGAAAUGAGGGAUUGACAAUAUCCCUCAGGCUGGGAAUGUUUUUGGGGAAUGAGGGGUUGACAAUAUCCCUCAGGAUGGGAAGGUUUUGGGGAAAUGAGGGAUUGACAAUAUCCUUCAGGCUGGGAAGGGGAAAUAAGGGAUUGAGAAUAUCCCUCAGGAUGGGAAGGUUUUUGGGAAAUGAGGGGUUGACAAUAUCCCUAGGCUGGGAAGUUUUUGGGAAAUGAGGGAUUGACAAUAUCCCUCAGGCUGGGAAGGUUUUUGGGAAAUGAGGGGUUGACAAUAUCCCUAGGCUGGGAAGGUUUUUGGGAAAUUAAGGGUUGACAAUAUCCCUCAGGAUGGGAAGGUUUUUGGGGAAUGAGGGGUUGACAAUACCCCCAGCCCGACUGUCCCUGGGUGGGGAUGGGCGGCUGUGUCUCCCCCAGCCCCCCGCACCCACCCCAGGCCAUGAGGGUGAGAUGCAGAGAGGGAUUUUCUUCACUUCAAAUGGGUGUUCAGAGUGAGAUUUUCAUGCUGGUGCUGGCCCAGCUCCUCCUUCUCCAGGCAGGAACCCACCACAGAGCCGCAGGAGCAUCCCCAAACCCUCUCCUGGGACCAUGCUGGGAUGUCCCCAUGGGCUCCUGGCAUCUCCGAGGCUGGGAGGUGAAGCAGCCCCACCUUGGGCCAUGACUCCCCUCCUCCCCACGGCUCUUUCCAAGCAUUUGCAGGCAAAUCUGAUGCUGGAGAAGUGGGGAUCGUGGUGGCCCAGCUGCUGCUCCCUCCUCCUCCAUUCUCCCCCAUCCCCUUUGCUCCCCGUAGCUCAGUUAUGCAGGUAGGUGUUAGCAAACCUGGGGUGUCUGCAAAAACUUUUGUAAAAUAGAAUAAACCCUUGAAAUGAUGCACUAAAAGGAAAAAAAAAAAAAAUCAUAAAUGCCCCUUUCCCCUCAGCUUCUCUGUGUGAUGGUUCCUUGGAUGUCCCCGCUCAGCCCCACAGGCAGCUCUGCAUCCUCCCCCCAGGCUGCUGCACAGGUAGAAACAAACCAGGACGUGCACUUCCCCCGAGGAGUUUUAUUUAUUGUUUUGAGAAGCAAUUUAAAAGGGAAAAACAACAAAAAAAAAGAGAAACUGUAUCUAUAAUAUAUAUAUAUAUAUAUAUAUAUAUUUUUAACCUCUUUUUUUUUUUUCCUGAUGCUCCUCCACCCGUGUGUGUGGGUGUGUGUGUGUGUGCGAGUCAAGGGAUUUGGUGGCCAGGGCUGGCAGCUCGGGGCAGCCGUGGGGCAGCCGUGGGGCAGCUGUGGGGCAGCUGUGGGGCAGUUUUGGGGCAGUUUUGGGGCAGUUGUGGGGCAGCUGCCCCCGUCCCCAGCCGGAGCACAGGGACCAGGGCUCCCUCCCAUCCCAGCUCUCAGUGCCCAGCAGCAGCAGUGCGAGGGGAGGGAGGCUUUAUGUGGAGUUUGUAAUAUUUUAACCGGGAUUUUUGCCUAAUUCCAUCUUUCUCUGAAGUGUUUGCAACCCUCGGGCUCUGGCCUGACCGAGAACCUCCCGCGCCCUGGGGAUGUCACCCCCACUCCCUGUCCCCGUUCCCUCCCUACUUCGCUCCCUUGACAAUCAGUGGCUCCUUCCCAGGGACUGCAGCACGUGGUUGAGACGUCUAUUUCGUUUUUUCAAUAUUCCUUUUUUUGUGCUGUAUGGUGAUGCGUUAUUGUAUAUUCCACAAUAAGACAAAAAAAAAUAUAUAAAAAAAAUGAUAAUAAUAAUAAUUACCAUGAGAAAUUCUUAUGAGUUUUGUUUGGAAACUCUUUCACUAUAUUUGUUGUAAAGAGGUUUACUAUUAAAAAGAAAAAAAAAAA
ensembl:lncRNA